ACUUAAGCUUUUAAGACAAUUGAUGAUCGCAACUUGCCUGUUUUAUUUCAAACCACUAAUCAUUCAUAAUUUUCCGUUUGACUAGCCAAUAAAACUGGUUCCAUUUCUCUCCACGCCCUAUGCCCAAAAAUCUUAUUUCAUUUAAGUUACCGGCAUGCAGAUCCAGAACAUUUUUUAAAAACUCAUUCUAUGUGCUUGUUUUGUUAUUGAU
rnacentral:lncRNA from 1 species